rnacentral:tRNA from 1 species
CGGACAGUAGCUCAGUUGGUAGAGCACAGGAUUGAAGCUCCUGGUGUCGCUGGUUCGAUUCCAGCCUGUCCGACCA